AGCUCUUCUUGGCCUCUCUGGCUUAGAUCAUGUGUAGUAUCUGUUCUUUUCAAGUUUGAUUACUUGGAAUCUCUCCAUAUCAUGCCCAUUUUUUGCAAAUCGAGAUGGCCUGGGUCCGCUGUGCGCUGCAUAAUGACUUGGCUUCCACUGUGUCUCUGGUAUUACACUGCUUCCAGAUUGACGCGAACUGUU
rnacentral:snRNA from 1 species